UACGUAGGUGGCAAGCGUUAUCCGGAAUUAUUGGGCGUAAAGAGCGCGCAGGUGGUUGAUUAAGUCUGAUGUGAAAGCCCACGGCUUAACCGUGGAGGGUCAUUGGAAACUGGUCGACUUGAGUGCAGAAGAGGGAAGUGGAAUUCCAUGUGUAGCGGUGAAAUGCGUAGAGAUAUGGAGGAACACCAGUGGCGAAGGCGGCUUCCUGGUCUGUAACUGACACUGAGGCACGAAAGCGUGGGGAUCAAACAGGAUUAGAUA
rnacentral:rRNA from 1 species